UACGGAGGGUGCAAGCGUUAAUCGGAAUUACUGGGCGUAAAGCGUGCGUAGGCGGUUCGUUAAGUCUGUUGUGAAAGCCCCGGGCUCAACCUGGGAAUGGCAAUGGAUACUGGCGAGCUAGAGUGUGUCAGAGGAUGGUGGAAUUCCCGGUGUAGCGGUGAAAUGCGUAGAGAUCGGGAGGAAUACCGAUGGCGAAGGCAGCCCCCUGGGCCAAUACUGACGCUCAUGCACGAAAGCGUGGGGAGCAAACAGG
rnacentral:rRNA from 1 species